CAGGAGAAAAGGGAUUCG
rnacentral:tRNA from 2 species